rnacentral:rRNA from 1 species
GACGAACGCUGGCGGCGUGCCUAAUACAUGCAAGUUGAGCGCCGAAGGUUGGUACUUGUACCAACUGGAUGAGCAGCGAACGGGUGAGUAACGCGUGGGGAAUCUGCCUUUGAGCGGGGGACAACAUUUGGAAACGAAUGCUAAUACCGCAUAAAAACUUUAAACACAAGUUUUAAGUUUGAAAGAUGCAAUUGCAUCACUCAAAGAUGAUCCCGCGUUGUAUUAGCUAGUUGGUGAGGUAAAGGCUCACCAAGGCGAUGAUACAUAGCCGACCUGAGAGGGUGAUCGGCCACAUUGGGACUGAGACACGGCCCAAACUCCUACGGGAGGCAGCAGUAGGGAAUCUUCGGCAAUGGACGAAAGUCUGACCGAGCAACGCCGCGUGAGUGAAGAAGGUUUUCGGAUCGUAAAACUCUGUUGGUAGAGAAGAACGUUGGUGAGAGUGGAAAGCUCAUCAAGUGACGGUAACUACCCAGAAGGGGACGGCUAACUACG